AAAUUGAAGAGUUUGAUCAUGGCUCAGAUUGAACGCUGGCGGCAGGCCUAACACAUGCAAGUCGAACGGUAACAGGAAGCAGCUUGCUGCUUUGCUGACGAGUGGCGGACGGGUGAGUAAUGUCUGGGAAACUGCCUGAUGGAGGGGGAUAACUACUGGAAACGGUAGCUAAUACCGCAUAACGUCGCAAGACCAAAGAGGGGGACCUUCGGGCCUCUUGCCAUCGGAUGUGCCCAGAUGGGAUUAGCUAGUAGGUGGGGUAACGGCUCACCUAGGCGACGAUCCCUAGCUGGUCUGAGAGGAUGACCAGCCACACUGGAACUGAGACACGGUCCAGACUCCUACGGGAGGCAGCAGUGGGGAAUAUUGCACAAUGGGCGCAAGCCUGAUGCAGCCAUGCCGCGUGUAUGAAGAAGGCCUUCGGGUUGUAAAGUACUUUCAGCGGGGAGGAAGGCGAUAAGGUUAAUAACCUUGUCGAUUGACGUUACCCGCAGAAGAAGCACCGGCUAACUCCGUGCCAGCAGCCGCGGUAAUACGGAGGGUGCAAGCGUUAAUCGGAAUUACUGGGCGUAAAGCGCACGCAGGCGGUCUGUCAAGUCGGAUGUGAAAUCCCCGGGCUCAACCUGGGAACUGCAUUCGAAACUGGCAGGCUAGAGUCUUGUAGAGGGGGUAGAAUUCCAGGUGUAGCGGUGAAAUGCGUAGAGAUCUGGAGGAAUACCGGUGGCGAAGGCGGCCCCCUGGACAAAGACUGACGCUCAGGUGCGAAAGCGUGGGGAGCAAACAGGAUUAGAUACCCUGGUAGUCCACGCCGUAAACGAUGUCGACUUGGAGGUUGUGCCCUUGAGGCGUGGCUUCCGGAGCUAACGCGUUAAGUCGACCGCCUGGGGAGUACGGCCGCAAGGUUAAAACUCAAAUGAAUUGACGGGGGCCCGCACAAGCGGUGGAGCAUGUGGUUUAAUUCGAUGCAACGCGAAGAACCUUACCUACUCUUGACAUCCAGAGAACUUUCCAGAGAUGGAUUGGUGCCUUCGGGAACUCUGAGACAGGUGCUGCAUGGCUGUCGUCAGCUCGUGUUGUGAAAUGUUGGGUUAAGUCCCGCAACGAGCGCAACCCUUAUCCUUUGUUGCCAGCGGUCCGGCCGGGAACUCAAAGGAGACUGCCAGUGAUAAACUGGAGGAAGGUGGGGAUGACGUCAAGUCAUCAUGGCCCUUACGAGUAGGGCUACACACGUGCUACAAUGGCGCAUACAAAGAGAAGCGACCUCGCGAGAGCAAGCGGACCUCAUAAAGUGCGUCGUAGUCCGGAUUGGAGUCUGCAACUCGACUCCAUGAAGUCGGAAUCGCUAGUAAUCGUGGAUCAGAAUGCCACGGUGAAUACGUUCCCGGGCCUUGUACACACCGCCCGUCACACCAUGGGAGUGGGUUGCAAAAGAAGUAGGUAGCUUAACCUUCGGGAGGGCGCUUACCACUUUGUGAUUCAUGACUGGGGUGAAGUCGUAACAAGGUAACCGUAGGGGAACCUGCGGUUGGAUCACCUCCUUACCUUAAAGAA
rnacentral:rRNA from 1 species